AGGUUCAUUUCAGAUUUUGCAGAUUUAAUUGUCACUGAUUGCCUCCCUCCUUGGUAGUGAAGAGCCAGUGGGACAUAUGCAGCUAUCUUUCAACACAUUUUCUCAUUUUUCUCAUUAUCCUACAGCCUGAGCUUCAAGUAAGGAACAAGGGUUGAACACAGGCAAUCUCCAGCUCAGAAAGAAGGGUCCUCCCUUUCCCCACAUCACACCGCAGCAGAAAAGAGCCACCACACUGCUAUUUCCAGGUUCAAACACAAGGAAGCGAUUCUGAACGCGCUCAUGGAGAAAUAAGCGGUACCCAAAGGUCUGGAAAUGCACUCUGCACACAGUGAAAGGUUUGCCCACGUCUAUUUGGGAUAGCCUCCAAUCUUCCCAUUCAAACCAGGCUGAGAUUCUCUGCACCAGAAUACACCUGAGCUCCAAGGAAAAAUGAAAACAGCAAUCACAGCCCUGGGCAUCGACCAUCCCCAAAGCCCAGGGCUGCAGACAACUGCCAAAGUAACAGCAUGCAAGCUGCAGCAAGCAAAGGGUGAGCAACUGAGUUCACGUCGUCCCUACCAGCUAGCCUUGGCUUCUGUGGGGAUUGGCAUAGACCUUAUUUUGUGUGGGUUUUGUUGUUUGUUUUAUUUUGCGUGACCACAUUGGAGCUGAACAGAAUCCAGACGGAAGCUAACCCAGUAACAGAAGAUCCUAGAAAAGCCUGUCUCUACAGUUUUUUACUGAUUCUGGCAGCUUCCAAAUGAUCUCUUGCCCGAGCUGCCCAGCAAGCAGGCACUAAAAGGUUUUGCAAAUGCACAGUAGUAAGUUUUCCUUUUCAAAGCACCUCUGAGCUUCAAUGAAAUCGUGCUGGGUGGACCUCAGACCACAUUUUCUUCAGGAGGUUUGGUGAUGCUGUGGGGUGUGGGUGACUCGGGUCAUGCAAUUCUGUGUGGGGAUGAGGAGCAGGGAUACAUUGUGAAGUGAAUCUUGUGUAAGGGAAAAUACAGCUGAAGAGCAAGGGUCUCUUGCUCUCUGAAAGUCAAUAGCAACACCUUCCUAUCAGCACCACCAGACGGGUUUUAGCAGAACACUGACUAAAGCCUGAAAUUCAUUUUGUCCCAUUGAAUCUAGUCAGCUCUAAAUGAAAAUACAGGCAAAUGGCUACUGAGUUUUUGGCAGGUGCAGAGAUGGAUAGGAUGAAGUGGACAUUUAGCUCCCAUCCAGUACACUGCAAAAUAUACAUUUACUCUUGAAAUUGGUGGCUCGCUUGCACUUUCCACUGGCAAUUGCAGAACACCAGCUCCUCUUCUGCAGUCCAAAUUAGAUGUACUUUGGGUAAGAAACUCUUUGUACUGCCACAGUGAGCGCGCCAGACAUCUGAGAUGGAUGGAGAGAUGGACGCAUUGACAUUAGCCCAGUGUAAGUGACACUGCUUGCAAAAUAAGCUCAGCAAAAAGAACCAGAGUGAACUAAGAAAUAUUUUGUCCAUCGAACUGGGCAGACAACAGAAGUAUGCCAGGCCAGAGCUGAUGUACUCCACAGAAUCCCAAAUCCUGCUGUGUGGCAUACAGAUACAUCUUUAUUAGCACAGUAAACACUGCCAGGAUCCAUUCUGGCCUCAAAGACAACCGUGCUGGCCACAUCCAUACUACUAAACUCUUUCAUCUCAAUACAGCAUAGCCACAUCCACACUGCCAACUCGGGAUGGUCUUUGGCCAGUAUCAGUGACUGUGCAAGCUGUGCCCAAGCCUCGGCUUGCUGGAGUGGAUGAAAACCAUGCCAGAGAGGGGCUGAAUUCCACAGUGGGGAUGGUGAAGUCCUGGCUUUGCCCUGGCAUGGUGUGCUUGGCUCAUUUCUAUGGUCCCAGAGUGAAUUCAGCAGCACAAACAUGGCAGAGAAGUUGUCCAUGCAGCUUGUGGUGUGAAUAAUUACAGGCUCAGACUUCUCCACUUCAGAAA
ensembl:lncRNA